rnacentral:rRNA from 1 species
UGACGCCUGCCCGGUGCCGGAAGGUUAAUUGAUGGGGUUAGCGCAAGCGAAGCUCUUGAUCGAAGCCCCGGUAAAACGGCGGCCGUAACUAUAACGGUCCUAAGGUAGCGAAAUUCCUUGUCGGGUAAGUUCCGACCUGCACGAAUGGCGUAACGAUGGCGGCGCUGUCUCCACCCGAGACUCAGUGAAAUUGAAAUCGCUGUGAAGAUGCAGUGUAUCCGCGGCUAGACGGAAAGACCCGUGAACCUUUACUGUAGCUUUGCACUGGACUUUGAGCCUGCUUGUGUAGGAUAGGUGGGAGGCUUUGAAGCGUGGACGCCAGUUCGCGUGGAGCCAUCCUUGAAAUACCACCCUGGCAUGCUUGAGGUUCUAACUCUGGUCCGUGAUCCGGAUCGAGGACAGUGUAUGGUGGGCAGUUUGACUGGGGCGGUCUCCUCCUAAAGAGUAACGGAGGAGUACGAAGGUGCGCUCAGACCGGUCGGAAAUCGGUCGCAGAGUAUAAAGGCAAAAGCGCGCUUGACUGCGAGACAGACACGUCGAGCAGGUACGAAAGUAGGUCUUAGUGAUCCGGUGGUUCUGUAUGGAAGGGCCAUCGCUCAACGGAUAAAAGGUACUCCGGGGAUAACAGGCUGAUACCGCCCAAGAGUUCAUAUCGACGGCGGUGUUUGGCACCUCGAUGUCGGCUCAUCACAUCCUGGGGCUGAAGCCGGUCCCAAGGGUAUGGCUGUUCGCCAUUUAAAGUGGUACGCGAGCUGGGUUUAGAACGUCGUGAGACAGUUCGGUCCCUAUCUGCCGUGGACGUUUGAGAUUUGAGAGGGGCUGCUCCUAGUACGAGAGGACCGGAGUGGACGAACCUCUGGUGUUCCGGUUGUCACGCCAGUGGCAUUGCCGGGUAGCUAUGUUCGGAAAAGAUAACCGCUGAAAGCAUCUAAGCGGGAAACUUGCCUCAAGAUGAGAUCUCACUGGGAACUUGAUUCCCCUGAAGGGCCGUCGAAGACUACGACGUUGAUAGGCUGGGUGUGUAAGCGUUGUGAGGCGUUGAGCUAACCAGUACUAAUUGCCCGUGAGGCUUGACCAUAUAACACCCAAACA